CACAAAAACAGACUGUUCAUGUAGUUGCAUUACAUUUUAGGAUCGAGUCUAGAGUGUUUCAUUUAGGACUGUUGCAUAUGCAUAGGGGAUAAUGAUGAGAUAGCCUUGUAAGCAUUUUGGUUCAACGGAUAAACUUAGUGCCCUCGUUGCUAAUUGUCUGUUGUGUAGUUAAUGAAAUUGAAGUAAAACUGAACCAUGCCUAGAUUGCUCUACUCGACCACACUAUCAUGAUCUGAUACAAUUCUCUAUCAAUUUGAACCUGAUUCUGAUUUUUAAUUUUCAUGUCUACAUCAAAUUUGAACCCAUGGAUGCCCUAAAAUACUUGGAUUUU
rnacentral:sRNA from 1 species